rnacentral:rRNA from 1 species
GUGGGGAAUAUUGGACAAUGGGCGAAAGCCUGAUCCAGCCAUGCCGCGUGUGUGAAGAAGGUCUUCGGAUUGUAAAGCACUUUAAGUUGGGAGGAAGGGUAGUAACCUAAUACGUUGCUACUUUGACGUUACCGACAGAAUAAGCACCGGCUAACUUCGUGCCAGCAGCCGCGGUAAUACGAAGGGUGCAAGCGUUAAUCGGAAUUACUGGGCGUAAAGCGCGCGUAGGUGGUUCAGUAAGUUGGAAGUGAAAUCCCCGGGCUCAACCUGGGAACUGCUUUCAAAACUGCUGAGCUAGAGUACGGUAGAGGGUGGUGGAAUUUCCUGUGUAGCGGUGAAAUGCGUAGAUAUAGGAAGGAACACCAGUGGCGAAGGCGACCACCUGGACUGAUACUGACACUGAGGUGCGAAAGCGUGGGGAGCAAACAGGAUUAGAUACCCCAGUAGCC